GGCAAAAAACUCGUAGAUUUUGCAUCAUGAUAACGCACCGUCGUACAGUGCCAUCAUUAUCUGUGAAUUUUUGACCAAGAACGAAACGAAUACCAUCCAACAGCUAUCGAAUUCACCCGAUAUGGCUCCCUGCGAUUUUUUUCUGUUCGAUCGAGUCAAAAAACCACUACGGGGAACGCGUUUUAACAGCCGAAAGGAGGUAAUGGAAAAAUCGAAGACGGCUCUGAUGGCUAUACCGACAAUAGAGUUCCAGAAAUGUUUCGAGAGCUGGAUCAAGCGCUGGCAUAAGUGCGUUGCAGUCGAUGUGGAGUACUUUGAAGGGGACAAUAUCACUUUUGAUGAAUAAACUUGUAUUUUGAAUUUUCUGAAUAAAUUCCGGGAACUUUUUGA